AUUGAACGCUGGCGGCAGGCCUAACACAUGCAAGUCGAACGGUAAAAGGAAACAGCUUGCUGUUUCGCUGACGAGUGGCGAACGGGUGGGUAAGGUCUGGGAAACGGCCUGAUGGAGGGGGAUAACUACUGGAAACGGUAGCUAAUACCGCAUAACGUCGCAAAACCAAAGAGGGGGACCUUCGGGCCUCUUGCCAUCGGAUGUGCCCAGAUGGGAUUAGCUAGUAGGUGGGGUAACGGCUCACCUAGGCGACGAUCCCUAGCUGGUCUGAGAGGAUGACCAGCCACACUGGAACUGAGACACGGUCCAGACUCCUACGGGAGGCAGCAGUGGGGAAUAUUGCACAAUGGGCGCAAGCCUGAUGCAGCCAUGCCGCGUGUAUGAAGAAGGCCUUCGGGUUGUAAAGUACUUUCAGCGGGGAUGAAGGGAGUAAAGUUAAUACCUUUGCUCAUUGACGUUACCCGCAGAAGAAGCACCGGCUAACUCCGUG
rnacentral:rRNA from 1 species